GUGGCGAACGGGUGAGUAACACGUGAGUAACCUGCCCUUGACUCUGGGAUAAGCGUUGGAAACGACGUCUAAUACCGGAUAUGACUCUCGCCGGCAUCGGCUGGGGGUGGAAAGAUUUUUUGGUCAAGGAUGGACUCGCGGCCUAUCAGGUAGUUGGUGAGGUAAUGGCUCACCAAGCCGACGACGGGUAGCCGGCCUGAGAGGGUGACCGGCCACACUGGGACUGAGACACGGCCCAGACUCCUACGGGAGGCAGCAGUGGGGAAUAUUGCACAAUGGGCGAAAGCCUGAUGCAGCAACGCCGCGUGAGGGAUGACGGCCUUCGGGUUGUAAACCUCUUUUAGUAGGGAAGAAGCGAAAGUGACGGUACCUGCAGAAAAAGCACCGGCUAACUACGUGCCAGCAGCCGCGGUAAUACGUAGGGUGCAAGCGUUGUCCGGAAUUAUUGGGCGUAAAGAGCUCGUAGGCGGUUUGUCGCGUCUGCUGUGAAAUCUGGGGGCUCAACCCCCAGCCUGCAGUGGGUACGGGCAGACUAGAGUGCGGUAGGGGAGAUUGGAAUUCCUGGUGUAGCGGUGGAAUGCGCAGAUAUCAGGAGGAACACCGAUGGCGAAGGCAGAUCUCUGGGCCGUAACUGACGCUGA
rnacentral:rRNA from 1 species